CAGCCUAGUCCCUAGGCCUCUUAGUUCGCCUAUUGCGCGUUUCUGCAUAUUAAUGAGGUGACGGCUCCUGAGAGGCCUAGAAUAAAAUGUUUCAAGUGAGCCAAAAGUGGGGACAAAGUGUCCCCACUUGCUGUAUUGAGAUCAGUGGCUUGCGAAAAUGGCGCCGUUCUCAUGAGCGAGUAAAAUGUUUUAGAUUUGUAUCAAAUUGACUUUUAUAUUUGCGACAAGUUGGAUUAAAAUUUUGUGGUUUUAAUAUAUAUUGAAUAGAAGCAGUGGUACAUAAAUUAAUAUACUGAAAAGACAAUAUAGUAAAGCGGAAUUGAUGCUAACAAAAAACAAGAAAUCGGUGAGAAAUAUUUUUAAUAUAGAAGGUGAGAAUUUAUUUAUCGAUAUCCUGGGAUAACUCUGCUGUAAUGUAGAAUAUUAACUAAAUACAUGGUAAAUAUAGUAAUGAUUUUUAUCAAUGCACUAUUGAAAUGCAUGUGUUCACCUGUGUUAACUAGAACGUUUGAAUAUUUGCGAGCUUUGAGCAAUGUGUUGUUAAGAAUUUAUAGAUCAAAAUAUAGAUCUGUUAUGUACUUGCCAACAAUUUUUUGUUUGAUGUUUAGGAAAUGUUUUACCUGUGGCAGAAAAUUUAAAUGGUGCCAUACAGGCAUAUACAGGGACAGUUGUCAAGAAAAUAUAUAAUUAAACAAGGUCAUAUUUGAAGAAUUUGGUGAAAGUGGUAUUUGUGAAUGACAAAGUUCAGGCAAAAGACAUAUUGGACAACAUGGAUGUACAUAAUUUUGCUGUUCAUUUAUUUCAUCAAGUCAGGAACUGGCCGAACUGCAGUCUGCAUAGUGUCAUGUUUGUAAUAUUUUCAAACAAGAUUCACCUGAUCACCACCCAACAAUGGCUUGUUGUUGGACUUCCGGGAACACCGGUAUUCUAGUUUAUAUUCAAAUGUUACUUGUUCGAACUAGUUUGUGUUAGAACAUUCACAAGGUACAGCAUCUAAUUCUUAUUAGUAUGUAAAAACUGAAGCAACAAUUUCAACACGAACACUCAGGCAGGCACAUGUGAACAGGAAUAGAAUAAAAUUUGGAGGUUAAUAUUGUUAAUUUAAUACAUAAUAAUAAAUGUAUUUAUUGUAAUAAAAUUAUUAUAAAAUUU